CGGAACGGGUGAGUAACGCGUGAGGAACCUGCCUCAAAGAGGGGGACAACAGUUGGAAACGACUGCUAAUACCGCAUAAGCCCACGGGUCGGCAUCGAUCUGAGGGAAAAGGAGUGAUCCGCUUUGAGAUGGCCUCGCGUCCGAUUAGCUAGUUGGUGAGGUAAUGGCCCACCAAGGCGACGAUCGGUAGCCGGACUGAGAGGUUGAACGGCCACAUUGGGACUGAGACACGGCCCAG
rnacentral:rRNA from 1 species